rnacentral:piRNA from 1 species
UUUCAAACGUUGUUUCUUGCA